ensembl:lncRNA
GCGAGAGCAGCUGUUGCCAGGCAACCGCGGCUGGCAAACGAGGUGUGGAGAAGUGAAGGAAGGAACAGAGGCGCAGUAUUUUGGGGGAGGAGACGAAGGACUGGGAAGGAGAAGGAGAGAGAAAUGGGAGGAACCAGCACGAGCACGUUUCUACAGAACCAGAGUGACCUGAACGGGGUAGUGAAACCAAGACUGCAGGCUACACACACCCUGCAAGUACUUCAGCGUUAAGCGUUAAUGAAGCAGUCCUGGAACUAUCAUCAGUUGUAAGGAUUACAGGUACUUG